rnacentral:rRNA from 1 species
ACUACUCUCGGCAACGGAUAUCUCGGCUCUCGCAUCGAUGAAGAACGUAGCGAAAUGCGAUACCUGGUGUGAAUUGCAGAAUCCCGCGAACCAUCGAGUCUUUGAACGCAAGUUGCGCCCGAGGCCACUCGGCCGAGGGCACGCCUGCCUGGGCGUCACGC